AUGUCGGUGCUGGCUGACAUGCUGGCGGAGGUCUUCCGCGAGCCGACCCUGGCCGGGGUGGCGCGGGAGCUGGCGACCCUCGCCGCGCCGCUCUGGCUCGCGGCACUUGUUGGGCUGCUCAUCGGCUGGGCCUGGCGCCCGCGCUGGGCAGCCGCCGUCGCCGGCCCCCAGCAACCGGUGCUGGCGGCAGCAGCGGCAGCGCAGGCCCCUGCCCAGCCAUCGCUGACGCAGGCCACGGCCGCCGACCACUUGGCCGUCGUACCUAGAGCUAAGGCGGCCUCCAUGGCGCCGGUGGAGGAAGAAUUGGCGGUCAGCACCCCGGACCUGAUGCACCUCCGCAGGGUCGUCGAGGAGAAGGACGGCGGCCCCGCCUGGACGCACAUGAUGGACCGCACGCUCCCGACAUUCCGAUACCAGGCCUGGAAAAGAGAACCCCAGAACGGCCCGCCGCAGUACCGCAGUAGCACCAUCUUCGAAGACGCGUCGCCGGAUGUCGUGAGGGAUUUCUUCUGGGACGAUGACUUCCGGAUCAGCAACACCUGGGACGAUAUGCUUCUUGAGCACGAGACGCUGGAGGAGUGCACAAAGACCGGAACGAUGGUUGUUCGCUGGGUCAGGAAGUUCCCAUUCUUCUGCAGCGACAGGGAGUAUGUUAUCGGUCGCAGGAUAUGGGCAUCUGGAAAGACCUACUACUGUGUUACCAAGAGCGUGCCUCGCCCCUCUGUUCCAAGGAGCAGCAAACCUCGCCGUGUGGACCUGUACUACUCUAGCUGGUGCAUCCGUCCAGUUGAAUCAAGAAACGGUGAUGGUGCAAUGACGGCAUGUGAGGUGCUCCUGUUUCAUCAUGAAGACAUGGGUAUCCCAUGGAGCAUCGCGAAGCUGGGUGUGCAGCAGGGUAUGUGGGGAUGCGUCAAACGGAUCGAGCCUGGCCUGCGGGCAUACCAGACCGCGAGGGCCGCCGGCGAGCCCAUCUCGAAAUGCGCAGCGAUGGCACACGCCAACACAAAGUUUGUCGCCAACGAGCUCACCGCUUCAGAAAACAACACCGAGGCCGGUUCGACCAGCAACAACGCCCAAGCCGAGAAGCCGAAGCACUGGACAGGCAACCUACCCAAAGUCUUCGUGAUAGGCAGCGUGGUCGCGCUGGCUUGCACCUUCGACAAGGGGCUACUGACCAAGGCCCUCGUAUUCGGAACGGCGAGAAGGUUUGCAGGACCAGGAAGAAGAUAG
rnacentral:rRNA from 1 species